UAUUGCUCUUGAACGAGGAAUCCCUAGUAAGCACAAGUCAUUAGCUUGUGCUGAUUACGUCCCUGCCCUUUGUACACACCGCCCGUCGCUACUACCGAUUGAAUGGCUUAGUGAGGCCUUCGGAUUGAGGUUUGGAGACUGGCAACAGACUCCGGAUUUUAAGAAGUUGGUCAAACUUGGUCAUUUAGAGGAAGUAAAAGUCGUAACAAGGUUUCCGUAGGUGAACCUGCGGAAGGAUCAUUACCAAUUUUAGCGAACCUGAUCUGACCCCUUCACAACCGAUCUCUUGAUUUCGCAUCGAUAGACGUAGGAUGCGUAGUUAUUGGAUGCAGACUCGUGAUCAUGAUCUUGACGCUAUGCACUCUUCCGCAUUCGGAGAGUAUGCCUGUUUGAGGGUCAGUAUAAUUCAAAAUCGGAGCGAUGCCUUUUGGGUGACGCACCCGGAGUUUGGGUCAUCUUAACUCUUUUUUUAAGAAGACCUAAAAUUAACAUUUUUUUUUGCUCACUUGAGACGUACAUAAUUUUUUUUAUUCGUCUACCCUGGUGGCAAAAAUUUUAUUAGAUCGUGAAUCACGUAGAGUGGACUCGCGUCUAUAAUUAUCAUGAUUUGACCUCAAAUCAGGUAAGAAUACCCGCUGAACUUAAGCAUAUCAAUAAGCGGAGGAAAAGAAAAUAACAAUGAUUCCCCUAGUAACUGCGAGUGAAGAGGGACAAGCUCAAAUUUUAAAUCCGUCGGGUUACACCUGACCGAGUUGUAAUUUGAAGAGGCGUUUUCCGCGUUUUUGAUCAGUCCAAGUCCUUUGGGAUAGGGCAUCAUGGAGGGUGAGAAUCCCGUUCGGCUGAUCAGAUUCGCUUUACGAUACGUCAUCUAAGAGUCAAGUUGUUUGGGAAUGCAGCUUAAAAUGGGAGGUAAAUUUCUCCUAAGGCUAAAUAACGGCGAGAGACCGAUAGCGAACAAGUACCGUGAGGGAAAGAUGAAAAGAACUUUGAAAAGAGAGUUAAACAGUACGUGAAAUUGUUGAAAGGGAAACGAUUGAAGCCAGUCGUACCGGUGGGUAAUCAGCCUUUCGGCGUGAUUAUGUGGAGCGUGAGGAGUUAAACGCCCUCAUGGCCUGAAUAUUCGUGUUCUUUGGGUGUACUUACCCGCAUGGUAGGUUAACAUCAAUUUCGAACGUCAUAAAAUGGUUGGAGGAAUGUAGCUUCGAUCUCGUAUUGAAGUGUUAUAGACUCCGGCAGAUGUGAUGAUCGGGAUUGAGGAUUGCAACGGAUACCCUUCGGGGCUACCCGUCUGAUCUCUGAAAGUUGCUCUGGUGCCGAAAGCUCGCUUACGGUCAUCAAAGUUGACGUUCAACAGGUUAGAACGGGAUAAAUUCGUUAAGGAUGUUGACGUAAUGGCUUUAAACGACCCGUCUUGAAACACGGACCAAGGAGUCUAACAUAUAUGCGAGUGUUA
rnacentral:rRNA from 1 species